rnacentral:sRNA from 1 species
GCAGGCAUGCGCGAGACCUCAAUCAGGUCGCUUUCGGGCGGCAGCGUCUAAGACGUGGGAUCCUGAUUCUCGGGGCCUGCCCUAU